ACCUGCGGAAGGAUCAUUAUAGUAUUCUAUUGCCAGCGCUUAAUUGCGCGGCGAUAAACCUUACACACAUUGUCUAGUUUUUUUGAACUUUGCUUUGGGUGCAUCAGCCUAGCUGCGUGCCCAAAGGUCUAAACACAUUUUUUAAUGUUAAAACCUUUAACCAAUAGUCAUGAAAAUUUUUAACAAAAAUUAAAAUCUUCAAAACUUUCAACAACGGAUCUCUUGGUUCUCGCAACGAUGAAGAACGCAGCGAAAUGCGAUACGUAUUGUGAAUUGCAGAUUUUCGUGAAUCAUCGAAUCUUUGAACGCACAUUGCACCCUCUGGUAUUCCAGAGGGUAUGCCUGUUUGAGCGUCAUUUCUCUCUCAAACCUUCGGGUUUGGUAUUGAGUGAUACUCUGUCAAGGGUUAACUUGAAAUAUUGACUUAGCAAGAGUGUACUAAUAAGCAGUCUUUCUGAAAUAAUGUAUUAGGUUCUUCCAACUCGUUAUAUCAGCUAGGCAGGUUUAGAAGUAUUUUAGGCUCGGCUUAACAACAAUAAACUAAAAGUUUGACCUCAAAUCAGGUAGGACUACCCGCUGAACUUAAGCAUAUCAAUAAGCGGA
rnacentral:rRNA from 1 species